GGAAAUGGCUGACAAAAUGGCGACCGGAGUCAGCUGACUGGAGGGAGAAGCGACUCAUGAGGGGAUGAGAGGAAUUAAAGGUCCACUGUUCCCUCGAACCGCACGACAGAACGAUGUCCGGAUGAGCUCAAACGGGCCGUUUUCAGUCCGUUCUGCCUCUCGGGUCGUAUGCAGGCUACUGAAAGCGAACAGCACAGAGGAACGUUUCUGGUGUUUGGCUCCACAUGGAUGCUCGCCUUGGACAGAACUGGAAUCUUGCAGAAGAGCAGGUGGAUCACAGAUGGAAAACGGUGGAAGCUUCUCGUUAUACAUCAUGUUGUGUUACCAGGAUCUAGACUAGAUAAUUUAAAAAAUAUAUUUACCUUAAAAAAAAAAUCAAACUCACAAAUAUGACUUCAUCAAUCUUACGUUUCCAUCCAGACAGACAGGAGGCCUUAGUGAUGUUUGGCAGGCUUUAUAAAAUCAAGCAAAGUGAUGUAAGAAAAUCCUAAAGCAGCUGAAGAACAC